rnacentral:rRNA from 1 species
UACAGAGGGGGCAAGCGUUGUUCGGAAUUACUGGGCGUAAAGCGUGCGCAGGCGGUUUUGUAAGCCAGAUGUGAAAUCCCCGGGCUUAACCUGGGAAUGGCAUUUGGGACUGCAAGGCUCGAGUGCGGCAGAGGAGACUGGAAUUCCUGGUGUAGCAGUGAAAUGCGUAGAUAUCAGGAGGAACACCGAUGGCGAAGGCAGGUCUCUGGGCUGACACUGACGCUCAUGCACGAAAGCGUGGGGAGCAAACAGG